rnacentral:rRNA from 1 species
GACGAACCGUGCGAACGUUAUUCGGAAUCACUGGGCUUAAAGGGCGCGUAGGCGGGCUGCCAAGUCAGAGGUGAAAUCCUGCGGCUCAACCGCAGAAGUGCCCCUGAUACUGGUAGUCUCGAGGGGGGUAGGGGCAUGUGGAACUUCCGGUGGAGCGGUGAAAUGCGUAGAUAUCUGGAGGAACACCGGUGGCGAAGGCGGCAUCCUGGACCGGCAUUGACGCUGAGGCGCGAAAGCCAGGGGAGCAAACGGG